GAAAAGAAAAAAAGGCCCGCAACCCUCUCGUCGCAUCACUCCAGCCGCUGCCUCCGUUCCCCACGCCGCCGGCCGCCGCCUCCGCCCCCCACGACGCCGCUCGUCGUCUCCCUCCCCAACGACGCCGGCGGCUAACCCCCUGCUUCCACCCGCCGCGGCAUCACCCCCUGCUUCCACCCGACGCCGGCGCCGCCCCCUGCUUCCACAAACCGCUGGCUCCGCCCCUCCUGCUUCUACCCGACGCCGCGCCACCCCCUGCUUCCACCCGCCGUCGGCACCGGCCCCUCCUUCCACCCUCAGCCGGCGCCGCCCCCUGCUUCCACGCGCAACCGCCGCCCCCUGUUUCCACGCGCAGCCGGCGGCCUCCCUGCUUCGACGCGCCUCCAGCGGCUCUCCUGCUUCCAACCCCCGCCGGCUGGAGCCACCCCAGCGCCACCAAUCGCCGCGACCAGCCUUCGCCCACCCCCGCAGCGGACCGUCGCAUUGCGUCGUCGCAUCCAGUGGCCACAGCACGCCGUCCAACUCGGCAGUCCAACUACUUGCUCCACGUGACGACAGUUAAGGUGGACGUGGGUUCAUGGCCGGAGCUCGCUGACGACGGAGGACAUGGCGCUCCACCAGCAUAGAAAGCCCCAGCCCUUAUCCUGCUCGUAGUAAAGGCUUCCCGGGGCUUCGGUUUUUUCAGUACACCUUUGGAUGCAUUUUCGAUUCAUCUUAUAGGUCAAGAGCUUCCUUCAGUUCAACGAUUAAACAAAGAAAAGAUUGGCGCACUGCAGUUUUGCAUUUUAGUGCAAGCACCCUAGACUCCCAUGCAAUAUCUAGUCAAAAAAAUGGUUGAUCGUAAGUGCAAGUACACUACACACGCUGAGCUGCAACGGGACACGGUGACAUCACUUCUUUUGGGUUGUUUUCUCUAUGAAUCUGCAUUUUCGUUAUUAAAUUCAGUACAACCAAACACAUGAAUCCCCAGCGGGUACCAAAUUACUGAUUCCUUCAAUUAGUAGAUUUCAGCAUUGGUUGGUCUAUUUGUGUAAAUCUGUCAGUUCAUGACAAGUAACUUCUGAUGCUAGAAAUGCAGGAUGUUUGUGUGAAUCUUGCUUGUUUCAGAGAGAAAAAGAGUUGGUACUUGCAUCAGAUAGUUUGUCCGUGCAUUUUGUUCUGUGUCGUUCUACUGUAUAACUUGUUUUGUCUUUUUCCUAGCUCAUGUUUUUCCUGAUACUUGUUUAUCUCAUUAUCACUAAAAAAUAAUAGAAGCAGGAGCAUCAAAUGGUAGUUCAAUUUUGCUAAUUCCUACAGUUCUACAUUUAUGUGGUUAGAAACAGUGGUUCAUUUAUCUAAUUCCUGUGGUCUAUUAUUCAACCGAUGUCGUCGGCCGUUCUUCGCCAUCUACUAAAGGUCACCUUUCGUCAUCUCAUCCUUGUAUCUCCGCGUAUGUUCAAUUGAUGCUUGCUUGAGAGUUCGCAAAACAAAAUUUUGAACUGUGAUCACCAAAUAUUUUCUUGAUGUCUAAACAGGACCAAUUAUAGCAUGUUCUCUGUUUGCAUGUAUUUGGUUGAACUAUUUAAAUUUUUUAGUGAAGUUCAAACUUCUUGAUGUGUGAAGGUUGAAUCAAAUUCAGUUUUGUACGUAAGAGGUUCGGCCAAUUUUUUUUGCUACUGAAACCAAUCAUUUGACAGGGAGUUCAAACUUUCUGUACAGGAAAGUGCAAAUCUGAUUUGCCACUCUUUUCUAUUUUUGAUCGCACAAACAUUUAAAGAAAUCAUUGAGAAGUUCCCAAACUAUCGGCCCAAACGUUCAGACGUUCUUUUCUGUAAAGUUCACAUAUAUUUAAAAAACACCACAUUUUGAGUACUCUUCAAUUAUAUUUUGUAAAAAGAAAAUACAUGUUGAACAGCAAGGACAGUUCAACAACAAGACUUGUAGUAGUUCAUCAGUAUGUAUCCAUUAGAAAAAUCAAGUUAUGAUAUUAGUCUUGGCAUUGAUCUUUUCAGAAUUGAUCGAGUAAAAAAGCAACUUCGGCAUGCCAAUGGGACCUUUUUAGUAAGUGCUUUGACUCUAUUUUCAUUUCCAUGUGUGGAAUAAUGGCCAAUGGUCUAAAAAUUAAGUUCCUUCUGUUACUGAACAAGAAAAUGUUCCCAUUCAACUAUAGGCAUUUUUUUCUAUUUCUUGAUGAAAAUGUUCCAGUAUCAUGUACUGUUUGUAAACGUUCACUUACCUAGAACAAAAACAGAUGCAAAGGUGCUUUUUCCCUGUUAAUGUCUGAGCCAAAACUGAAUUAUGUGGGGUUAAAUUUAAGCUGAAUGAGAAGUAGUUUCAGGUUAGGUUGCUUCACAAGGUGCAUAGCAUCGUGUGAAACCAUGGAAGUAGAAAAAGUAAUUAUUAAUCUUGGUUGGGCAUGUAACUGAUUUCCCAGCUGUGUAAUUAUGUGUGCCUUUUCCCUGUUAGUGUUUGUGUUAGUGGCUGCAAGUGGAAAGAGCUAUGGAACCGACCCCUGCGGGCAUUUUUCCAUAAAAACAUUGCACUUGUUUUUCCCUUUCCAGGUUUACAUUCUAGCAUACCUUUUUUUCUUAUAAAUUACAGUACCUCAUCUAUCCUUCCUUGUAGAUGGAGAUGCGUCUAUGUAUACAUGUGUUCUGGAGACAGAAGAACUUAUCUGGUGGUGUGUGUGUGUGUGCUGCUGCAUCCUCUUGCGGCCGCUCUAAUCCACACCCUCAGUACAACUUCUCUACGACCUCGUAUUCACAAAUCUUCUAGUACCUUUUUUAUAAAAAUCUUGUAGUACUAUGUAAAGCAAGUGUGGCCAACACAUAGUUUAGGUAUCGCGGUAGUACUCACUGUUCAUGGUGGCCUUCUUUUGUGCCACUACUACUUUGCCACCUAUUGCUAAAACCUAGCGAACAGUACAUGUAUUUGAUUAAUGAUUCU